rfam:Phaeobacter gallaeciensis strain JL2886, complete genome.
CCCCUUUAACUCCGCCCGGUCAGCACCUAUGUUCUCACUGUUCCCUCGUGGAACUAUGGACAUAAACGCGCUCGUAAUAAGCGGAUCGGACCCGGGGGCGGUACCCGGCGGCUCCACCAUAUAUCCUUCGUUUGGGGAUCAUGGGGCCGAAACAGGAUCGACGAACGUCUAAAGGGGUUAGCUUUGUCUCGGCUGUCUGCCACCGUUAUCGGCGAAACUAGUACAAUUGCAAACGACAAUCGUGCUCCGGUUGCUCUGGCUGCGUAAGCAGUUCGAGUCGAACCGACUUUAAGUCCUAGCGCCUAGCCGCGUUAGGCGGGGUUCGCAGGUACCUGGCAACAGAAACCUGCACU